UAUGGCUACUGCAAUGACAUUGGCAAUCCUGACAAAGGCCUGGAGUAUAUGAGACCUGUUACAGGUGGUUCUCAGUCAUGUCCAUGUCAUCGUAUAUUAAGAACUGAUCACCCUCCAGCAACCAUGAUUCAAAAGCAAUGUUCAUAGAGGGAUCGAGUCAUUUUGAGUUCUUCAAUGAGAUACAGCAGUUGUUCACAACCACUAGGGUCCAAGGAGUGGAAGAAUGGGUAGUGAAGAUUUUGAAACCAGCAGUGCCUGAUGAUCUUCUUAAAAAAGUUUAAACAAGUAAUCAAGAAGAACCCAGUGAAAUCUCCGCUUCCUGAAAUCAUAGCAGGAACAAAUUUGCAUGGAUGAAUAAUGACAAAUUUGGGCGAUAUCCAACCGUAAUCCAUGUUUGCAGGUGUGUCAAGUGACCUGAAAAGGGGAUCCUCAACAUAAUUUGAUGGAAUAAUUUCGUUUUCUUUGUUCAAUGUAAAUCUGACGUACUACUAAAAUGUGCUUAAACAAAAGAGAUUGGAAAAGUGUCACUCACAGGGUCUCAUUGAGGUCCUUCAAUAUACAAAUACCGAUUUCUUGUACGUCAGUGGAGGGUAGUGUUAUCUUGUGAAUGGAGUUGGGAAACCAUUAUAUGUCAAUGCUCUGACAAAGAAUUUGCAUAGUUCGCCUUGCGCCUGUGUGGAAGUUAGUGCUGACAAACCUCUAGUUGAUUGCCGACAAACCUCUAGUUGAUUGCCUUGAUCUUGACUUGGAGGAUGAGUUGCCUGCUGAAAUAUAAGUGGAGUAUCAUUGUCUCAAUUGUGAAGUCCAUGGACACAAUUAAGAUCAGUGCUCUAGCUUUGAGAACAGAGAAGGAAAGGAUAAAGUGAUGACAAACCGGGUGGAAGCUGCCCAGUUGCACAAGUUCUCUCUUUUUU